rnacentral:lncRNA from 1 species
AGAAAAGAUGCUUUGGAGGCAGAGUGGCUAAGGGAAAGAUGAGAGAAUACUGAAUAUGAGGGCAGGUUUCCAGGAAAGAGAAGCACAGAGUGGAAAAGGCUGUUGUAAGUAGAAGGAAGAUUUCAGCUGAAAGUCGAAGAAAGCCAAAGAUAGAAGGAGAAAUACCGUGAGAAAAAAUAAACCUGUAGUUUUCAAGCCAAGUGCGAUACAAGAGACUGAGGAUCCUUCUGCCUCAGAAGCAAAAUUGAACCUACAGAGAAGUCCUCUUGUUUUUAAUCCAGUCAACACCACGAUAUUCAAAUUGAAAAAAUGUUGAUUUUGUGUCUCGUACUCAGCAGAAAAGAAGCAUGCAUGAGAAGGGACAAAACAAAAAACCUCUGCAUUUAUUAACCUCCAAGUCUUUAAGAGAAUAAAGGUAUUAUUUAAAAAUGCCUGUGUAUAAGUCUAUCCCCAGUGUCCAACAGUGUCCAACAGCUGCAAGGACCCAUUUCAAUCUGUUGAUGCACUUCAGCACACAGAAAUAUUUAUCCAUGCAAAAAUAAUAACAUCUUGCAGAAUUGGCCCAAUGUUUCUCCAUUAGGGUCAUGAACCCCUUGAAGGUCAUGAGAGCAUUCAAAAAGGUCACAAAGCUUUAGACAGCAGAAGUCAGCA